UGCCCACUGAUAGUAAUUAAAGGGCUGCAGUAUUUUGACUGUACAAAGGUAGCAUAAUCAUUAGUCAUUUAAUUGAUGACUUGUAUGAAGGAUUGGAUGAAAUAUAGACUGUCUUAAUUUUAAUUUUUAGAAUUUAAUUUUUAAGUUAAAAAGCUUAAAUAAAUUAAAAAGACGAGAAGACCCUAUAGAGUUUUAUUAUUAUUUAAAAUUAAAGUUUUUAUAAAUAUAUUAAUUUAAUUUUUUUUUAAUAAUUUUGUUGGGGUGAUAGAAAAAUUAAAUAAACUUUUUUUUUUUUAUGUUAGCAUAAAUAAGUGAGUAAAUGAUCCAGUAGUAUUGAUUAUAAGAGAAAAUUACCUUAGGGAUAACAGCGUAAUUUUAUUUUUUAGUUCAAAUAAGAAAUAGAGUUUGCGACCUCGAUGUUGGAUUAAGAUAAAAUUUAGAUGCAGAAGUUUAAAGUUUUGA
rnacentral:rRNA from 1 species